rnacentral:rRNA from 1 species
UACGUAGGGUGCGAGCGUUGUCCGGAAUUAUUGGGCGUAAAGAGCUCGUAGGCGGUGUGUCGCGUCGGCCGUGAAAACCUGGGGCUUAACUCCGGGCCUGCAGUGGGUACGGGCAGACUAGAGUGCGGUAGGGGAGACUGGAAUUCCUGGUGUAGCGGUGAAAUGCGCAGAUAUCAGGAGGAACACCGGUGGCGAAGGCGGAUCUCUGGGCCAUUACUGACGCUGAGGAGCGAAAGCGUGGGGAGCAAACAGG